rnacentral:rRNA from 1 species
GACGAACGCUGGCGGCGCGCUUAACACAUGCAAGUCGAACGGAAAGGCCUGCUUUCCCUUGUGGAUUGCGGGUACUCGAGUGGCGAACGGGUGAGUAACACGUGAGUGAUCUGCCCCCAACUUGGUUAUAAGCCUGGGAAACUGGGUCUAAUUCCCGAUAGGACUGCAGGGUGGUGCCUGUGGUGGAAAACGAGUUUCUAGUGGAUGGGGAUGAGCUCGCGGCCUAUCAGCUUGUUGGUGGGGUAAUGGCCUACCAAGGCGGCGACGGGAAGCCGGCCAGAGAGGGUAGACGGUCAGAGAGGGACUGCGAUACGGCCCAGACUCCGACGGGAGGCAGAAGUGGGGGAGAGUGAGCAAUGGGGGGAAGCCUGAUGCAGGGGCGCGGCGUGGGGGAUGACGGCCUGCGGGUUGUAAACUCCUUUGGGCCGUGAAGAAGCCUCCUGGUUGGAAGGGUGGUGACGGUAGUGGUAGAAGAAGCACCGGCUAACUACGUG